rnacentral:RNase_P_RNA from 1 species
GGCAGCGAGUGACCGGCCACCGUGGCGUCCGUGCCAGCGGGCACGCGACGCAAACGAGGAAAGUCCCCCCACCGGCCGGGCAGGCGACCGGGCACAAGCCCGGGACGGGAGACCGUCGGCUAUGGAACAGAAACGAGACCCCUCUUCCGGACCGAUGAGGUGCGCGAAGUGAUUCGUGAGAUGACCGAGUGAACCCACCGAGGGCCGUCGUGCGACUUCGCACGCGACGGAAGAGAACGGAUGGAACGGCGAACCCUCGCCGGUGCAAGCCCGCGACGUCGAGGUAGCCCGGCAGACGACCGAUACGGUCGGCCUGUCGCGGGCGCUCAGCCGAAUGCCGGUUCGAACAGAAGGGGGCUUACGGCUCGCAGCC